GGCGUCGUUGCGUUCCUUGGUAUUUGCUCCUUGUGGCAUUGGCUCUUUCUCCUGCAUGCCGCAAACAGCUCAGCUGAUUUCUCGGGGCUUGUGUAGGAGCCUCGUGUCUUAAUCUCGGCGUCGUGGGCAACGGAUCAAAGUCCUCUUUAAUUUCAAGAUCAACAACUGGGCGAGGGGAUUAGAAUUUAUUCUGCUGCUUUGUCGCCAGAUUAAAAAAAGGAUUCUGACUUGCUGCAGGGUUAUCUAUAAGUAGUACGGUCAAGUGCUGCAGAUUUAUUUGCCUGCUUGUUUUCUCAAAUGCAAAGUGGUUCUGAAAUCAAAGGAGUUGGAUCAGUAAAGGAAGUCUGUUGAGGGAACGGGGUUGUGCAAGGGAAGAUGAACAAGUUGAUUCGGACGUGGAUCGAUCAAACUGAUGCCCAUCAUGUUCGUGUUCAACUAGCUGGGAGCAUCAACUGUUCAGGAUCUCACCGUUGAACUGUUGACCCGGCUUAUGCGUAAGACUUCGGGUAUAGUAUUAUCCAGGCUCAAUAAAUGGGCUUCUGAAUUCUUCGGGCAGAGAUUGUAGCAGCUUGUUCCUUUAAUUGAGCGAGUGUUAAGUAAGUAGACCGAUGAGACUUUUUAUCUGUUAAAGAUGUAGGAGAGGAAGGAGACCCAUGAACCCCUUUGAUAAUUUGUACAUUUGUCGAAAUCUCAUGAGUUUGUGGAAUAGCUCGACUUGUUCAAGAGUUGUUGUUUUUAAUAAA